CAGUGCAGAGCACAGCUUUGAAUGCCUCUGGACUGUCUUCUCCCCCAACGCCAUCCUGCCUGGAGAAGAAAAAAGAAGUUUAUCCAACAAGAUCACCACAGGAAUUUUUAGCCACAAUCCUUGUAAAUUCAAGAAUUUACCUGGUUUGUCUUCACCUUCCUAUGACUGGGGUUCAGGCCAUCAGGGACUUUUUAAAAUUCAAAGCACAAUUUCCAAAACCUUAAAGGAUCCCAACAGGACAUCAUAUUGCAUUUGGCACCACCUCUUCUUAGGGUUUAAUUGGCUCAAACAGUUUUUAAAAGAUUGCUUGACUUGAUGACCUGGACAAUUCUGAAGAGCACUGGUUAGGAUUUUUUAGAGCCUUCUAUCGAAAAUUUGUCUGAUAUUUUUCUCAUGAUUAUAGUUUUUUGAGAGGAAGACCACAGAAGCAGUAUGUCAUUUUUCUUUCAUCUUAUCAAGGGUACAUAGUAUAGGUAUGUAAUCUAUAAAUAUAUUGAAUCAUCAUGCUGUACACCUAAAACUAAUAUAAUCCUGUAAGUCAAUUGUACUGCAAUUUAAGGAUUCAUGGCACAGAAGCUGACCCCGGUGGCCUGAAUGAGGUGGUGUUUGUCAGAUUUCACCACUGUAGAGUUUUUCUCUAUCCCCUCACCAUACUGUAACCUUUAGAAAGAAGACCCCACCCCUGUCUAAGGAGUGGGGAGUGAGUCAUGUUCUACCUUCUUGAGGGCCAGAUAGCCACACAAGUUAAUAAGAAUUCUUCUGCACAUAAGACUGUGCCUUCUCCCACAUUUAUUUAUUCACUUAUUUAUCUAAGCAUGGGCUCAUUAAUAUUUAAUUUAAAUUUUGUGCUGUAAUCUAGUACUACUUUAUAUUGUUGCUAAAAUUGUUCUAUCUUUAGCCAUCAGAAGCUCUUUCAAUUGGCUCCUGUGUUCCACUGUGGAUAAACUAUCACUGUGGGGUUUUUUUUUUUUUUCUGACCUCUGCCUUUACAAUCAAUUUUUUUAAUAUAUUGAUCUUAUAGCAAUUCAAAUAAUUUCCUUUUUCCUGCAACCAUGUUAUCUGCAAAUAAUGACAGGCUGUCUUCCAUUCAACUUACUACAAUUCUUAUACCUUUUACUUAUUUUUUUUUGCCUUGCUGCAUUAUUUCAUAUGAUGCUGAUAUGAAGGUAUAAUAGAGAAUGCAUUUGACUUGUUUUGGAUAGUAUAGGAGAUAAGUUCAAUAUUUCACCACUGAGGAGGAUGUUUGAUGUGUUUUUUUGUUUUCUUUUCAGGGUGUUUUUGUUCUUUUUUCUCUUACUUUAUUUAUCAAGGUAAAGUAUCCUUCCAGCUCAAACUUGCUGUCUUGUUUGUUUGCCCUAAAA